GCGCGAGUGGCGGAAUUGGUAGACGCGCACGGUUCAGGUCCGUGUGUUGGAAACGACGUGGGGGUUCAAGUCCCCCCUCGCGCA
rnacentral:tRNA from 1 species